GGGACAGAGCAGCCAUGCUGUAAGCAGCUUAAGCAAGGUAUAAUCAUAAAUCAUCAGAUCAUGCCCAGAACUACUUAUCUGAACUCCAAAAGUAAUUCCAAAUUCAGGACAUUUCAAUAGCUUCAGUAAACUCCACAACCCUGCAUUCUAAUUCCACAUCCAGAAGAAGUCUUACAAACAAGAAGACCUCAGCAUUUGAAGAUUCAGAAUGCACCCCUUGGCCAGUCACCCAUGAGUGUCCCAGGGAAUCAACACAAAGGAUAGGAGGUCAUCUUCUUAUAAAGCAUUGGAAGAGAUCAUCUGUCUGAGCAGACUGUACUGAGGCAGUUCCUUCUGUUCUAUGCUAUAAAAUUUGUCUGCCCACAUUUGUUAUGUUGUACAGAUCAGGGUUAUGUCUUUGGUGAAUAAGAUGUUGAGUCAGAGCUUCAUCUGGUAUAAAUUUACACCUGCUGAGGAUCUGGUCCAUAUGUUUACCCUAAGGAGGGGGGUUCCAAUAUUAUAGAAAGGGGGAUUUAUUUUGCAU